rnacentral:rRNA from 1 species
UACGAGGGGAGCAAGCGUUGUUCGGAUUUACUGGCGUAAAGGGCGCGUAGGCGGUCGUGACAAGUCACUUGUGAAAUCUCCGGGCUUAACUCGGAACGGUCAAGUGAUACUGUCGGACUAGAGUACAGAAGGGGCAACUGGAAUUCUCGGUGUAGCGGUGAAAUGCGUAGAUAUCGAGAGGAACACCUGCGGCGAAGGCGGGUUGCUGGGCUGAUACUGACGCUGGAUGCGCGACAGCGUGGGGAGCAAACAGG